UCCACGCCGUAAACGAUGCCUACUAGGUUGUGGUGGUUCUGACGCCAGCACAGCCGAAGCAAAAGUGUUAAGUAGGCCGCCUGGGGAGUACGGUCGCAAGGCUAAAACUCAAAGGAAUUGACGGGGGCUCACACAAGCGGUGGAGCAUGUGGAUCAAUUCGAAGCAACGCGCAGAACCUUACCUGGGUUUGACAUGCUUGGAUGCCCUGCUGGAAACAGCGUGGGCUGCCCUUCGGGGUGAAACUUGCACAGGUGCUGCAUGGCUGUCGUCAGCUCGUGUCGUGAGAUGUCGGGUUAAGUCCCUUAACGAGCGAAACCCUUGCCGUUAGUUGCCAGCGGGUCAAGCCGGGGACUCUAACGGGACUGCCGGUG
rnacentral:rRNA from 1 species